ensembl:lncRNA
UGUGGAGGACAAAAGGAAGUUCAUAUUGGACAAUAACCUGUGCUUUGGCUGUCUUAGGAAAGGACACAACUCAAAGGAUUGCAAGAGUAAAGCUACUUGUAGUAUAUGCAAGAAACAUCAUCCAACACCACUUCAUGAAGAUCGCCCUUCUUCUGCAGCAGUCACGUUUUCUCAUGCUAUGCAAGCAGAACAAAACACAUCUUCACUUUCCUGUUGCGUAGACAGUGGCGACGGUGGGAGUACAUCAAUGAUAGUGCCAGUAUGGAUUUCUACAACUUCCACACCUGAAAGGGAGACCUUAGUUUAUGCCCUUCUGGAUACACAGAGCAGCAACACCUUCGUGGAUCAAGAGGUAUGUGAGAGGAUGGGGGCAAUUUCAGAGCCAGUCAAGUUAAAGCUUACCACAAUGAUGGGAAAGGAUUCCAUUGUUCAAAGUGAAAGAGUUAGUGGGCUCAGAGUUAGGGGCUUUGCCUCUCAUGGCUUAAUCAGUUUGCCACCUGCCUAUACCAGAGACUUCAUUCCACUUGAACGCUCCCACAUUCCUACUCCUGAAACUGCUAGAAGAUGGAAUCAUCUGAAUGAAAUUGAUCAGGAAAUUCCAAUGAUGCUCGAUUGUAAAGUCGGACUUCUGAUAGGUUACGAUUGCUCAAGAGCUUUGGCACCACGUCAAGUCAUCACAGGAGGUGAUGAUGAACCGUAUGCCGUCAGGACAGACUUGGGUUGGAGCAUAGUUGGCUCUUCACCUAGGAUUGCAAAGUCAACUGAAGUUACAGGCCUGUGCCAUCGUGUAUCUGUUAAGGAACUCCCAAUACUGACACCUACCUCUGUCAUCAGAGCCCUUGAAUCAGACUUUGGAGAUACAAAUCCAAGGGAAAGGAGCAUAUCACAAGAUGAUAUACAGUUCACGCAACUUAUGAAUGAGAAAAUUCACAAAAACUCAGAGGGACUCCUCGAGAUGCCCCUUCCCUUUAAGACACGCCCACAGUUACCUGAAAAUAAGCAGCUGGCUCUGGUGCGAUUGAAGCGCCUGAAAGGAAAAUUUGAGAGAGACCCAAAAUUCAAGGAUGAUUAUGUAAAAUUUAUGGAAGGAAUCUUCAAGGAUGGUGAUGCGGAGAGAGCUGAACACCAACCCAAAGAAGGAAAUGUCUGGUAUAUUCCUCACCAGGGGGUAUAUCACCCUAGAAAGCCA